rfam:Enterobacter aerogenes KCTC 2190, complete genome.
AAUAGGCUUUCAACGUUCGCUGGCAAAGCGUUGAACGCACGCAGUCAUCGGUGGUAAAGCGCACGAUGCCAAUCAUGUCGUCUUCUUCAAAACGCGACAGCGCGUCACUCAGUCCUGAUUUUACGCCAGAGGGCAAAUCACACUGGGUAAUAUCGCCGUUGACGAUCACCGUGACGUUCUCCCCGAGGCGGGUC